GAGACAGCAGUAGCCGCGGUAAUACGAAGGGGGCUAGCGUUGUUCGGAUUUACUGGGCGUAAAGGGUGCGUAGGCGGAUUGUUAAGUCAGGGGUGAAAUCCCGAGGCUCAACCUCGGAACUGCCUUUGAUACUGGCGAUCUUGAGUCCGGGAGAGGUGAGUGGAACUGCGAGUGUAGAGGUGAAAUUCGUAGAUAUUCGCAAGAACACCGGUGGCGAAGGCGGCUCACUGGCCCGGUACUGACGCUGAGGCACGAAAGCGUGGGGAGCAAACAGGAUUAGAUACCCCCGUAGUCCCUGUCUCUUAUAC
rnacentral:rRNA from 1 species